AACUGCUUCAGUCUCGUCUCCCGCAUCGACCAAACUAACGAGCACCAUUUUAAACUGAUGACUGUUUGUUUAAAUUCUGUUUUACAUGACUUGGACGGCAAAGCUUUGAGAGUUGCCAAAGUUGGAUUUACUUUUUUGCCACUUCAGACAGUCCCCAGCGGUGAUCCGGUGAACAUGGAGAGUCUGUAAAUAAAAAAUACACCGCAAGGUAUCCACUUACCGAGGAUCCAGCUUUGCUUCAAAUGGUAAGUAUACAUUUUUGAACACUUUAUUAGUAUAAGUCGGCAAAGUAUCAUUCCUUUAUUCGUCUGCGCUAAAUUAAAUAUUGUGCAAAGAAGCGGACAGGCGUAUCGGAAGAAAUAAAAGACACGGACUGCUGCAGCAGAGCACAUAGAAACGUACAUAUACGAUAUUUCUACAGUGCGCAUUGCAUACGCGACUCUGUCAGUCAUCCUCGCUUAUUAUCAAGUGAUAAUUUAUAUGAUGAUCACAGUAAGCCCAACUAGUUUCCAAAUACCCAUUCAUAAAGUGAUCUGAUAGUGAGAGUGAGGCAGGAGGUUGUAUUCUUAUAGUAACAAACCUACCAAAUGCAUAUGUUGUUGCUGAUUCGUCCGUAGCGGGAUGCAUCUUCUCUCUCUUAUUCAGAAUAUAUUUAGUCUUCUCUUUUUCGACACAGUGCUCAGAUUGAAACUGGCAAAGCGUCCUCUCCAACAGACGGGAUCAAACACAAAAAAAGCACGCUGUUUUAUUGGAAAAUUGCAAAUGUCUGAUCAUGCAAAAACUUUGGAGAGCCGAAGCAAACAACUGAUUCACGUUAUGUGUUGUUGAGGCGAGAAAUUGGAAAUAUAAGUUGACGUGCCGUCCGAGCAGAAUACCAUUUGACUGCCGGUGGAAAUGAUAAGUAGUCUUUACAGCAAGCAGAGAUCCUGUUCGCCUUUUCUCUCCUACAGUAAUAUGGCCAAAACGCGCUUGUACGCCGCUGCUUUGUGUGGGCUACUGAGGAGAGAGGGAGGGGGUGAAGUCAGAACAGACACCUGUCUUUAAGUGAGGCGAGCAUGCAUUAUGAGAUUCUGCUUAUUAGAAAUUAUAAGGAGAUUGGAAGUAAAGAUGCGAUAAGACCUGUGAUUAGAGCUUUAAUUAAAAAUACCAAAAUUGUAAUUUUAUUGUAAAUUAAACAUCUAUUAGCCUAUGCUUAACUGAAGCCUAUACAACAGCAGUGACUAUUGUGAGAUUAGUAUUAUUAUUAUUGUUAUAUUUCUAUUUAAUUAAUCUAAUAUUAAUACAUAUAAUAUAAAUUAUUAUACACAAGCGACUACGUAAUUAAUAAUAUCUGCUUUUUUACAGUUACACCUCCAGCAAUUAUACACUAUUCAGAGAAUAAAUAGGGCUAUAUAAGACAUGAUAAUAGCCUCAAUUACCCUCGCGUAAAUCUAUACUGGGUUGAAAAAUUUAGCAAAAUUUUUUUUCACGCGUAAACAUGUACACACCAAUACAAUUGAUUUGCUAUUAACCCCCCCCCCCCAAAGUCUUGUGCUGCAGUUUUUAUUUCCCGGGUUUAAAAGUUUCCUCUGUGUGAUUAGUAGUUGUUCUCCCUUCAAGCGGAGGAUAAAAGCACUAUAUGCUCAGCAAGCCUGCAAGCACACAACAAUAGCGCUGCCCAACGGGACCAGUAUCGAUUAAGACGAGACAGAGGAUGUCGCCUGCACUAAAUAUUUACUGAUCACACACAAAUAGCUGGAUCUUUAACGAUUUCCCAUGCUCCGGCUGGGAGAAAGGACUAAAUCACUUUAUUAUUGUUAGUAAAACAAAGCACACGCUCUGGAACACAGGAGUGGAGAUGUGCUGAUUGGGAUAAGUGCAGUUAAAUUAAUCGAUAGUGAGUAAUAGUUGAGAUAUACGGGUGUGCAAAGGAAAAGCUCUCACUCGUGUAUCAGGUUCAAACUGACACGCGCACUGCGAUUGGCAAUUGUGCGCAUAUGUAAACAUGCAAAACAGGUUAAAGUCAACAGAUUGUUGACUAAAACUACACCGCUGUCAGCGGGAAUUGCUGCGUUUAAAUCGCAGUUUAAAAAAAAAGAUGAUCUAAAAAAAAAAAGAUUGUCCAGCUGACGGCAAGAAACCCCUCUCACACUCGUUUAAAAAAGUCAAAACUGGCCUAAAAGUUGACUUUCAUCUUAUCUGUGCCUUCACUAAGUCCUUCAUGCAGAUAGAGUGAUACUGACCCGGAGGUCUCCAAGUUCCCGGCCUGAUUAACCCUUCAAGACCCGCGCAGGAGCAAAUGUUAACCAGGCUAAUCAACUUCAAGAGUCUGAUUGAAUUAGAUGACUGUUUCUGAAUCAGGACAGAAACUCAAUUGUCACACUUAAAGAAAAACACAAUGAAAAUCUUUUUCAAAUAUAAUUUGAAAAUAUUAAAAAAUAGUGAAAUUAAUUAUUGAUAACAGGACUAUUUGUUAACAGACAACAGGUUCCAGCUGUUUCUAGUUUAAAACAUUUUCAGCAUACUUUUAUUAUUCAAAACUCUCUUUAAAACACCCACAAAUUGUUUCUUCCUGCCAGAUAAAGAUCACUUGAUUGAUGGUGCUUGUGCCCCAUAUGUCAUGCAUUUUUAUCUGCUGCAUUGCAUAAUAUCAAUCAGACCCCUCUAGUAAAGGUUUUAUCUCUUGUCUCUUUAUAGCAGUGCUUCAUUGUGCUGUUGUGAUGUUGCUAUGUGCAAAGAAAACUACACCAAUUAGUCAAUAUCUGCUUUUACAUUUGGCUUCAUUAAGGUAAAGAAUAUUUGCUGACAAAACAUAAUUAAAGUUUCAACAAGUUACUGUAGACUCAGAGAUAAUCACAGGGAGAAAUAGAAGCAAAAUAUUCUUUAUCAGGAUAUUUUAACAUUAAAAUUGUCAUGAUAUAAAAUAUUUAAUAAUUGUGUGGGCAUAAAAUUAUUAUCUCAAAUGUUUUACAUAUGGCUUUAAUCCUGAUAAUGUAUGCUGUGUGUGUGUGUAUGUAUUCCAUAUAGUUUCUUUUGAUUUGGCUCACUUUUUCUCUACAUGGUUGCUUCGUAAGCACGGAUUUUACAGACUUUAUUAACAAAAGUAUAACUUGUCCUUUAAAUUAUGUUUCUGUCUUUUUAAUAAUAUGUCAUUACAAAUAAUUGCAUUCUAUCAUCCCAAUUAUCACCCUCUUAUGGUAAACAUGCAUGUGUGUGUGUGUAAGCAUAUGAUUGUAUGCAUGCACAUGUAAGCUACACAGAGGCAUGUAUAUGCAUUGUGAUAGUGAAUAGUUUUAUAAUAUCCACUUUUUAGUGAAAGUGUGCUUUCGUAUAAGCAGACAUACAUGUCUUAGUUGAGACCAUUUUAUAAAGAGUUCAUUCAGUGGUGUAGAUCACUUUCUCUGUGUCUGUGUGCCCCAAGGGCCGCUAUCUAAAAAGGCAAUAGAUCCCUGAUAGCUCAGUGUGUUCAAUUUGCCAAUGAUAGAUUAUAGUGCCAAUUUAAACAGAUAGGGAUCAAUUUGUCUCAAUGAUCACUCUUUAGGCUGACUGCCAGCAUGCUCUUAAUGUAUUUGUAAAUGCUGGUUGUUUGAAUUGCGGCUGUUAAAGUGAUCAAAACUGCAGUAUGGAGAGAUGAUAUGAGAAAUUAUAAAUGAUGUGUUGUUUUGGCUGCUAAAGACCGCAUAGAUGGAGCAUGCGUGAUGAUAGCUUCAGGCAGCAGCAUUGUAGCAGCACUGACCAAAAGGUCAAUGGUUUAACUCUAAGGACUUGCUGGGAACGUCUGGGUAGGGGAAUUGUGUGAUAAGUGCUCUCUAACCCUCAGGAACUACUGCUGAAGUACCCUUCGGCAAAGCAGCUUAAACCCCAUCUGUCCCAGUGGAGCUGCACAGCGACCAGCAGUACAAGACUGCGGUUGUACUGGGCACUUGUGAGAUGUGUCUCUUUCAGUGUGACCUACCCUCCCUUUUCUUUUUAAGAGGGAGAGUGGGCAGUCCACUCGCCUCACAGUUUUUUUUUCAUGUACUCAGACAGUGAAAAAGUUUGGGAGAAGACACAAGAGAGAAAGCUGUGGCAGCAUUCAGUCCUGAGCCCAGACAUGGUUCACAUGUGGCCCCAAAGGCAGCAGACGCUGUAUUGAAUUACUGUAACACAAGGUGUAAUGUGGUAGCAGUGUGGGAUAUGUAUAUAUUACACAAACGGAUGUAGAAGCGGCUUACUUCAGCUUUAUAUUACAGCUAUUUAAUGUUGGAUUGUAUGGUUUAUUUUCUCAAAUUUCAGCUAUAACCAUUUAGCAGCAUUUUCUACAGUGAUCAUUAAUGUCUCAUUAUCAUUGAAUCAACCAGUUAUAUCAAACUGAUACUGUGAAAACCUUGUAUCCAUAGAUUUUGUUAUUUUCAUGUACUUCAAAGAAUUACAUGGAUUGUAUUACGAGGAGAAAACACUUACAGCCAUAGCUGCAUUUCUUACUUCUUGAAGAUUUAAAAUUUUCCUGUGACAAUGUACAAUUAUGGGAUGACCAAUAAAGUAUUACUGUUUCAAGUGUUAGUAGUAAAAUAAGUAGUGCUGUGUAUAAUUGAAAAUUGCAGUCUUACACCUGCCACAUCUAUGACUAAUAAAGUUUUAAGAUUUCA